GCAUAUCAAUAAGCGGAGGAAAAGAAACCAACAGGGAUUGCCUCAGUAACGGCGAGUGAAGCGGCAACAGCUCAAAUUUGAAAUCUGGCCCUAGGCCCGAGUUGUAAUUUGCAGAGGAUGCUUUUGGCGAGGUGCCUUCCGAGUUCCCUGGAACGGGACGCCAUAGAGGGUGAGAGCCCCGUCUGGUCGGACACCGAGCCUCUGUAAAGCUCCUUCGACGAGUCGAGUAGUUUGGGAAUGCUGCUCUAAAUGGGAGGUAUAUGUCUUCUAAAGCUAAAUACCGGCCAGAGACCGAUAGCGCACAAGUAGAGUGAUCGAAAGAUGAAAAGCACUUUGAAAAGAGAGUUAAAUAGCACGUGAAAUUGUUGAAAGGGAAGCGUUUAUGACCAGACUUGGCCCGGUUGAUCAUCCAGCGUUCUCGCUGGUGCACUCUGCCGGUCCAGGCCAGCAUCAGUUCGUCGCGGGGGAUAAAGGUUUCGGGAAUGUGGCUCCUCCGGGAGUGUUAUAGCCCGUUGCGUAAUACCCUGUGGUGGACUGAGGUCCGCGCUUCUGCAAGGAUGCUGGCGUAAUGGUCAUCAACGACCCGUCUUGAAACACGGACCAAGGAGUCGUCUUCGUAUGCGAGUGUUCGGGUGUAAAACCCCUACGCGUAAUGAAAGUGAACGCAGGUGAGAGCUUCGGCGCAUCAUCGACCGAUCCUGAUGUUCUCGGAUGGAUUUGAGUAAGAGCAUACGGGGCCGGACCCGAAAGAAGGUGAACUAUGCCUGUAUAGGGUGAAGCCAGAGGAAACUCUGGUGGAGGCUCGCAGCGGUUCUGACGUGCAAAUCGAUCGUCAAAUAUGGGCAUGGGGGCGAAAGACUAAUCGAACCUUCUAGUAGCUGGUUUCCGCCG
rnacentral:rRNA from 1 species